UGGAUUUCGUCCCCUGUACGAGCAAAUUGAGUAACCCUGGUUUAAAGCUACUUCUCUUUUGAAAUUUAUAUCAGACAUGCUGCGACAGGCUGAGCCCCAGAGAUGUUUCAGUGAGAGGAAACGUGGGGAUCAAGAGGGAAUCUAUCUUCUCACCGCAGCUAGAUUGCAUCAACAGGAGGAGGAAAAGCCCGGACAUCCCUCUCCCUAGCAACAUAUUCCAACUAUUCCUGGAGGAUUCUGAGCUCAGAAGGGAUAUAUAAUCUCUCCAGCGUGUUUGGAUCUUCCCAGGGAUCUUCUUCCACAAGGAUAUGCCU